ACGGAUUCGACUGUAUUAUAUAUGGUAAAUUAUAUUUAAAUAGAUAACAUUUACUACAAAUUGAUUGAAUUUAAAUCAAUACAAUGGAGCUGUAAAACAUUUAAGAUGGUUACAAAAUGCGCCGGUUGGCACUUGGCAGCUAUCGGCUGGUAGCGGCGUCUUUUGUCAGCAAAUUAUCUGCCUUUAGGAUAUGGUGCAACGUGGUUGGGACGAUCUGCUCCGGGUGACAAGAACGCACGCUACGCCACUGCCUUUAGGUGUUGGAAAAAUUACCAUGAUGAUGAUGAAAUUACCAUGAUAAACAGAAUUAUUUUGGAGCAAGUAUUUGUUUUUGUAGAAUUGUAAUAUUAUAAUAAUAUGAUUGCAAACUGAAAA
rnacentral:lncRNA from 1 species